UACGGAAGGCAGCAGUGGGGAAUAUUGCACAAUGGGCGAAAGCCUGAUGCAGCUAUGCCGCGUGUAUGAAGAAGGCCUUAGGGUUGUAAAGUACUUUCAUCGGGGAGGAAAAAACAAAACUAAUAAUUUUAUUUCUUGACGUUACCCGAAAAAGAAGCACCGGCUAACUCCGUGCCAGCAGCCGCGGUAAUACGGAGGGUGCUAGCGUUAAUCAGAAUUACUGGGCGUAAAGAGCACGUAGGUGGUUUUUUUAAAGUCAGAUGUGAAAUCCCUGGGCUUAACCUAGGAACUGCAUUUUGAAACUGAAAUACUAGAGUAUCGUAGAGGGAGGUAGAAUUCUAGAUGUAGCGGUGAAAUGCGUAGAUAUCUGGAGGAAUACCUGUGGCGAAAGCGGCCUCCUAAACGAAUACUGACACUGAGGUGCGAAAGCGUGGGGAGCAAACAGGGAUUAGAUACC
rnacentral:rRNA from 1 species